rnacentral:pre_miRNA from 1 species
AGUGGAAUUGCUAAGUCCUAUGGGAACUGUAUGUUUAAGUUUUUGAGGAACUGCCAAGCUGUUUUCCAAAGUUGCUGUGCCAUUUUAAAUUCCCACCAGCAGU